UUGGCUUUAAAGUGAUGGACACAUUUUGAGAUUAUAGAGGUUAAGGUGGAUCCACCGCACUCCUCUGUAAUCUUUUAGUGUGCUCCAAUUGUGCUCCAAUUCUUUAAAGUGAUCAAACAGAGUGCAAAACCAUAAUCCAAUUCUUUAAAGUGAUCAAACAGAGUGCAAAACCAUAAAAAUAGUUUGAAGAAUUAUAGUUAACAAGACUACCAGAGGCAAAGCAUGGAUAGUGAUGUGUGAUGUUGUUUAUUUCCAAGAAAUGCAUGAGGCUCUUCUUUUUUCAACAAAGUAAUUUAGUUUUCUUGGUUCAGCUUCUCGAACAAUUGGACGGUUUGAUCAUUAUUUUUAAGGAGCAUCCUACCUAACUCUUCAAAACAAUGGUAGCAUGUAAUCGUAAAGUGACAUGUAACCCCAUAUCUAGUGAACAUGGAAGAAAAGAAACAACAAUUGUGAUUCUAUUCCUAUCUGAAUGACAGGUUUGAUGGGUAAAUCCAUCAAGGCGAGACUUUGAUUAUGCUCUCAUAUGUUGAUGAAAAUGUUGCAAAUGUUAUGAGUUCGCCCUUCAGAAUUUGGAGUGCCAGUUUAUGAAUCAGGGGUUUAACUAGUGGUUUUUCUCCAUUAGAAUUUUCAGCAAGGAAACAUUAGAAAAUCAUGACACUAGCAAAUAAUACAAGUACAGGAUCGGUUCUUGGCAUUCAUGAUCUGCUAAAUAAUCAAUGUUUAUGAGCACGCUUCCUAACAACUUGAGCAAGUUGAUAAUAUUAUUUCACAAGAACCAACGAGAAAAUAAAACUGAGACUAAGCAGCAAAAGAUUGAUGAUUUU